UACGGAGGGGGCUAGCGUUGUUCGGAAUUACUGGGCGUAAAGGGCACGUAGGCGGCUUUGCAAGGUAGAGGGGAAAGCCCGGAGCUCAACUCCGGAAUUGCCUUUAAAACUGCAUCGCUAGAAUUGUGGAGAGGUAAGUGGAAUUCCGAGUGUAGAGGUGAAAUUCGUAGAUAUUCGGAAGAACACCAGUGGCGAAGGCGACUUACUGGACACAUAUUGACGCUGAGGUGCGAAAGCGUGGGGAGCAAACAGG
rnacentral:rRNA from 1 species